CGGGACGGGUGAGUAACGCGUGGGUAACCUGCCAUAUACAGGGGGAUAACACUUAGAAAUAGGUGCUAAUACCGCAUAAGCGCACAGUAUUGCAUGAGACAGUGUGAAAAACUACGGUGGUAUAUGAUGGACCCGCGUCUGAUUAGCUGGUUGGUGAGGUAACGGCCCACCAAGGCGACGAUCAGUAGCCGGCCUGAGAGGGUGGACGGCCACAUUGGGACUGAGACACGGCCCAAACUCCUACGGGAGGCAGCAG
rnacentral:rRNA from 1 species